UACGGAUUUACCGGGCCUAGCCGAGACUAGGAGCACCGUGGUCACGCCUGGGGAUCGAUUACCGAGCAUGGAACGAAUCGGGAGAUAAUGUAGGUCGUCGGAGAGACGGAGUGUCGGGCGGACGUUGGAGGCAGACGGCAUCCAGUUGUUGAGAAGAGUAGUUGAAGGCGAGGAGCAGGCGGGAGCAGUAACAGAAACAGAAAAAAAGAGACAGACGAUCUUAGUGGACCGAUCAUCCUGUAGUCGGUAUAAAUAGCCUACGGAGAGGACCUGCUACCUUUCUUAUUACUUCUCGUUUUAAUUUUAUGCCCACGAGUAUCGAUUUCCGUUCGUCGCACGUUCACGGGCUAUAUAUGUUAUUUCUAUGUGUUCCGUUCCAUGCUAACGGAAAUUGGGACCAGUAUCUGGCCGGAGAGGUCUUUCGCCUCUGUCCGUGAACCGCGCGCCAGGAAACGACAGCAUAAGUGCACAAACGUUAAAACAAAAAUCGACCGAGUACUGUACGUGUAAUGUUUAUAUAAUAUAUGGUAUGUAUGUACACGGCUCGAGGGACCUGAGAACUCGUUCUGUAGGAUCGUUCCGUUGUGCUCGGGCCACAAUAGACUGACGUUUCUAAUUCCGGCUCGAUAUAUGCACAUAAGACACGCAUAAGCUCCGUGCGAACCGUGAAAUAAUUCAUUUCACGUUUCCGGCUAGUGAAAGUACUUACGCCGUUUUCGUUCCGCGAAUUUCUAUUCUUAUUUCGCGAGACUCUUUCGUUUGAUUUGUCAAGUCCCCCGGAACAACGCUUCGACGAUUCCUUUAAAGAUCUUUAAGGCCGUAUGAGCCCUUAUAUAAAAUUUAACAGUUAUUAGAUACUAGCAUCCCCCAACGUCAGUUGGAUAUUAUCCUAAACGAUUGCAAGUCAGGCACAAUUCUAUCAAUAGCCACGUAUUAGAAUAUUAGAAAUUAAAAAGUUCCCAUGAAUUAAAAAAAUACAUCGAGCAAUUUUAUAAACCUCAUUUUAUCUGUAAAUAAAAUUUUUCCUAAAAAUUCAUCACUUCAAAUAUCGAACAUUUUUGUUCCAUUUCUCGAGAUUUUACGGCUCAUACGACCUUUAAACCAUUUAUAGUCACACGGAAACGGAACGUAAAGUAAAAGUAAUACGCAAGAAAGGAAAGAAAAAAAAAAAAUAUAUAAAAGUAGACGAGAUAGAAAGAGGCAUGUACAUAUGUAUACGUAUGAAUACAUUGAAACAGUAAUUUCUUGAUUAUGUACACGGCCGCACCUCGCGUCGACACGCACACUGCACAGGUGUUUUAGAGACAGAACGAACGGUUUUAAACUGUGAGAAGAGAAAGGCCAGCGGAGAUGAGGUAGAGAGAGAAAGAAAGAAAGAGAGAGAGAGAGAGAUACCAUAUAUAGGAAAGCGAAAGAGAGAAUCGUAUGUUUGCCGAUAAAAUUACGCUCGUACUGACAAUCGGCACAUACUCAUUGCGAAUAAUGGGGAACGCGGCUAAUGAAAUGUAUCCGUUCCAGGUUAUACGAAAGAGGUUGCCAGUUCGAGCAUAAUUCUAUUAAGAAAAUAAUAAUUGGAUGCAAAACACGCUAGGAUAGCUUCGGGCUCACCUUGCAGGUCCCUUUCUGCUCUCGGUGCCCUGAUUUCUGUCUCAUCACCUGCAAAAUGGAAAAUAGAAAUGCUACAUUAAUUGCUUUCUGCAAAUUCUUGAUUGAAAGAUUGAUAUAUUAUUUUACUGAAGUUCAUAAAUAUUAGGGAGCACAUUCCAAACUUGAUUAACUUUCUUAAUAUUGAAUGAUCAAUUUUUAUGAAAUCCCACAGAAAAUUAAGUCCAACUGUAAAAAAUUCAUUUCUAAAAAAGAUUAUUCAAUUCUGAAAUGCGUACAAACAUUUAUGAACUUCACCCUACACCUUUUUAUCAAUCCGCUGACGUGUCUGAUGAAGGAGAAUUAUUUCUUGACACUUUAACGACAGUGACAUUUCCUAACGCAUUAGCAAAGUUUUUUUUUCACCGACGAUCGAUCGAAACGAACGAAAGGCUUAACAGUUCUGUUUUUUGUUGAAAAACUUCAUACGUUUGACGAUCUGGUCAAGGACGCCUAAUGGCACCUCCGGGAAAGGAAACGGUGGGUGGUGAAGGGAAGAGAGUUCGCGAAGGAUGCUGCGCUGCAUUUGGUUUUCGCGCGAUUUCAUUCGGCGAUUACGUAACGAGAAGCAGUUAUUACGUAUGGUAACUCAUAGUUUCCACUUCAGAAUUAAAAAUCCGAUUAUUUUUUAAAAUAAGUCAUGACUUGACUACAUGUCAUAUGCAAUAAUCAUGAGUUAUCGACGAGGCACUGUUCCAUUUUCUCAACAACGGCAAAAUGUAUUGAGGCCUCGAAUUCCACGGUGCCAAUGGAGUAAGUAAACCAGCGAACAAAGGCUAGACGACGAUCGUGCGGGGAAGCGCGUCGAGUAAGUUGCACGUAUGUAUGUACGUAUGGGAAUGAGAGAAGAAGAGGUCUCAGGCUGCGAUGCUGAAGAUGUCGUCCAGAGACCGGAGAGACGUAUACAGUUAUCUGACCGACUCCUUUCUUCGUCUUCCCUCUCCUGAUUUAUACCACGUGCUCAACCGCGAAAUCUUUCAAUUCUCGCACGAAAAUGUAAAAAUGAUUAUUUUUGUUCAAUUAACAUAUAAAUAAAAAAAAGAGUCUACCCUAAUCUAAGUGAACCAGAAAAGAAUCCAGUCUAUUUUUUCUCUGAUCGUGAGAUCGGAUGAACCAGUAUGAUUAGAACGCCAUACCAAACGAGUGGAUUCUAUGUAAGUCUAAUUGCCACACUCGAUUUGUCGAGUUCACCGAUUUCGCGGAAUUUCGUCCGCCUUGAAUGGCCGUCGCCGCGAUCUGGCCUGCCCCAUUGCCUGCCUCACUCGUCUCAUCGCUGUUGCCCGUUAGCUUUCAGCGCAAUUACAGAGAAUCACUGUUACGUCACGUCUUGGCAAAUGGAAUUGGUACAACAAUUUUUAUCUACCAAUCUAUUAUGAUUAGACAGCAGAUUUCAGCGAAACAGAACGUGUAAAAAUUAUUAAUGCUGAUGUAUUAUACAGAACUAUGCAGAAUAUCGAAAGCUGGAUGCAUAUUUUAAUGAUACAUUAAAUAAUGUUUCAUUUAAUAAACACCCUCUGUCUAGUUGUGACACAAUAUCUGUAAUCUGUAGCGAAUUCGCGAGGACAGUCGGUCAAAAGUUGACAGCGGGGAACAUGACAUCCGGUUCCUUUUUUUUCCGUUCGAUCGGACCGGUGGCCAGUUCUCGGUAGACCGAUCGAGAUCGACGCACUCGCAUGGUUCGAGGUCAUUCUCCAGCGUCCAGGUGCAUUGGGUCAGCUGGUCGACUUCGCGUCGUCGCCGCCGCGUCGCCCUUCUUUCCUCGCGAGUCUGGCUGGAGGCCAACGGGUCCCGGGUUUCGCUGCUAAGGGGGCCAGACUGUCGCUGAAUGAUCGACAACAAUGCUAAUUCGACGUUCGUUCUUUCACAAAGAAACUAAUACAAGAAAGUUCUAAUUCCGUGUGCUAAAAAUUAUUCAAAAUUGCAA